GCCAAUCGCAUGGUUCUAUUGUUAUGGUGUUUGGCUUCUUUUUGGCAUACAUUUUCAUUUAAAGAAAAAUCUAUCUUUUUUGAGUUUUGGUUCAUUUGAUUCGAGCUAUCGAGUCGAACCGAGUUGUUUGUGAGUUUGAAUUGAGUCGAGUUCGAACUGAAAAAAAGAUUCUGACGAAUCUGAGUCGAGUUUUGAGUUUAUCUAAUUUUUAUCGAGUCAAGCUGAAUCUAGGUUCGACUCAACGCGACUCAUUUUCAGCCCUACCCUAAUGUCACCAAAGUGUUAUACUAAAAAUAAACAUACUAUCAAUUUAGAACUUAGUGGGCUUGUGACUAUUUAGAUUAUAAUUU
rnacentral:lncRNA from 1 species